rnacentral:rRNA from 1 species
UACGUAGGGGGCUAGCGUUGUCCGGAAUCAUUGGGCGUAAAGCGCGUGUAGGCGGCUCGGUAAGUCCGCUGUGAAAGUCGGGGGCUCAACCCUCGGAUGCCGGUGGAUACUGUCGGGCUAGAGUACGGAAGAGGCGAGUGGAAUUCCUGGUGUAGCGGUGAAAUGCGCAGAUAUCAGGAGGAACACCAAUUGCGAAAGCAGCUCGCUGGAACGUAACUGACGCUGAGACGCGAAAGCGUAAAGAGCAAACAGG